UACAGAGGGGGCAAGCGUUGUUCGGAAUUACUGGGCGUAAAGGGCGCGUAGGCGGCCUGCUAAGUCGAACGUGAAAUCCCUGGGCUCAACCCAGGAACUGCGUCCGAUACUGGUUGGCUUGAAUCCGGGAGAGGGACGUGGAAUUCCAGGUGUAGCGGUGAAAUGCGUAGAUAUCUGGAGGAACACCGGUGGCGAAGGCGGCAUCCUGGACCAAUAUUGACGCUGAGGAGCGAAAGCCAGGGGAGCAAAGCGGG
rnacentral:rRNA from 1 species